GACGGUUGUGGCGGCGAAGUCCGCCAACACCAUGACGACGGCGACGGCUCUGUCGACGUCGACCGCCAUCACGAACGAGGUGCAGGAAGAAGGAUAGGAGACCACGAGGCAUCCUCUUACCUUAUUCUUUCCUCCCUUCUUUCUUCUUUUCCGGCGACUCUCGCCGGAGUUGUUUUGCCUUUUCUCUGCUCUCGGUAGAGUUACGGGCUGAUAACGUGUUCAGAAUGAACUGUCUCUUUCAUUGAUGAUCUGUGAAGAUUAAAUACACA
rnacentral:lncRNA from 1 species